UACGAAGGGGGCGAGCGUUAUUCGGAAUCACUGGGCGUAAAGCGUGCGUAGGCUGUUCGGCAAGUUGGAAGUGAAAGCCCAGGGCUCAACCCUGGAAUUGCUUUCAAAACUGCCGAACUAGAGUCCGGGAGAGGAUAGCGGAAUUUCCAGUGUAGUAGUGAAAUACGUAGAUAUUGGAAGGAACACCAGUGGCGCAAGCGGCUAUCUGGACCGGUACUGACGCUGAGGCACGAAAGCGUGGGGAUCAAACAGG
rnacentral:rRNA from 1 species